UACAGAGGUCUCAAGCGUUGUUCGGAUUCAUUGGGCGUAAAGGGUGCGCAGGCGGUUGGGUGUGUCAGAUGUGAAAUCCCGAGGCUUAACCUCGGAACUGCGUCUGAAACUACUCGACUAGAGUACUGGAGAGGGAAACGGAAUUCACGGUGUAGCAGUGAAAUGCGUAGAUAUCGUGAGGAACACCAGAGGCGAAGGCGGUUUCCUGGACAGUUACUGACGCUCAGGCACGAAAGCAUGGGGAGCAAAAGGG
rnacentral:rRNA from 1 species